UGUUAAAAAUUUCAUAUAUUUAUAUUAUUAAAAACCGGCAUGGCUACAAAAUAACUAGACAGUAAUGUGUGGCGUGUCAUGUGUGCCUCAUGCUGACGUACGUGGACCAAUUUUUAAUAGUAGAAACAUGAAAUUUUUAACA
rfam:Gossypium raimondii Chr03_contig_13, whole genome shotgun sequence.